AUGCAUUAAAAACAGUUCAUUUAUUUGUUUGUCAUAUAGUAGCAGCAGAUAUUUGGAUAGUCACACUUUCUAUCAAGCUCAUUAGCUUAAUAUGAGCCAAUCAAGUAGUAGAUUUGAAUGUUUCAGAUUUAACCAAUCAGGUUUUGAAAUUGUCAAACAGCACUAACCUAUAUGAGAUCUAUAAGGAAAACAAAUGUUGAAACCUAAGUAAUCAACUAAAUUAGAAAUGAAAUGAACUAAAAAUAAAAUGGACACAGUCUAUGUGAAGCAGAUAAUUAUUUUCUGCCAUUAUUGAAACAAAAUGCCAUUACAAAAGUUUACAGACUUUGUAAUUAAAAUUAACAAAAAUAUAUAUUGGUCACUUGGUGUUUUACUUUUAACACAGUAUUUGAUAAAAAACCAAUAGCUCAAAACAUCAAGAGGACUAACUGUUGGAAGAAUUUAUCAGAUCUCACAUUUGGAUUUAGCUAAAAUAAAAUAAGAAAAUGCAUUUCUAAUCAGCUAAGUUGUGGUCUUAGAUUGGGACAUACAGUAAACUAGGAUUGAUUAAAGUCUGUCAAGAAAUGAAUUCAACAGGUGCUGCCAGGAUUUCUUCAUAUAUUUAUACACAAAAUUUAUUUUUUUUAAUUUCAUUUUAAAUAUACAUUAGAAGAAGCCUCGUUACAGUCAAAAAAAUUUAAAUUGAUAAUCAAAGUUUCCUUAAAAAAAAAA